rnacentral:rRNA from 1 species
UUUCCAGCAGCCGCGGUAAUACGAAGGGUGCAAGCGUUAAUCGGAAUUACUGGGCGUAAAGCGUGCGUAGGUGGUUUCUUAAGUCUGCUGUGAAAGCCCUGGGCUCAACCUGGGAAUGGCGGUGGAUACUGAGGAGCUAGAGUGCGGUAGAGGAGGGUGGAAUUCCCGGUGUAGCGGUGAAAUGCGUAGAGAUCGGGAGGAACAUCAGUGGCGAAGGCGGCCCUCUGGACCAGCACUGACGCUGAGGCACGAAAGCGUGGGGAGCAAACAGGAUUAGAAACCCCCGUAGUCC